UACUGAAAUUUAAUGAUGCAGGUUGCUGGCAAUGAAGAUAGAGUAACAACAUUUCAAAUGGAUAUAAAGGAGAGAACAUUGCUGCUGAACUGGGCACCGUUUGAAGUUACUUGCGCAAAUUGCAAAAGACGAAUUUUGUACCGCUUCAAACCCAAGAUCCAUGGCUGAACAAUUUACAACAAUGUCAUGCAAAUGGUUUGCCAUCCUCAUGGGUCAAUAAAAGAUUCUUUUUGUUCCACCACCAGCAAGAGAUCCAAGAUUGUUUUUUUGACUUUUGUUUCGUUUACGUAUGGAUUGACUUAGAAAUUGUUGUUUGCUUUACUUAUGAAUUGAUUUUGAAAUGGUUGUUUGAUAUUGUGUUGGCUGCUUCA